rnacentral:rRNA from 1 species
UACGUAGGGUGCAAGCGUUAAUCGGAAUUACUGGGCGUAAAGCGUGCGCAGGCGGUUAUGCAAGACAGAGGUGAAAUCCCCGGGCUCAACCUGGGAACUGCCUUUGUGACUGCAUAGCUAGAGUACGGUAGAGGGGGAUGGAAUUCCGCGUGUAGCAGUGAAAUGCGUAGAGAUGUGGAGGAACACCGAUGGCGAAGGCAGCCUCCUGGGCCAGCACUGACGCUCAUGCACGAAAGCCGUGGGGGAGCGAAACAGG